ACACCUACCUGGCAAGGGAGACACCAUGAUCACAACGAUGGUUUUCCCCAGGUGAGGCUCAGCCGUUGUACUCUGGAUGUGCUGACCUCUGUGAUUUCCCCAAAUGUGGGAAAAUUGAAUGCAUAAUUUGUAGAAGUGGAGGACUGCAUUCACACUUUGCCCUA